UACAGAGGUGGCAAGCGUUGUUCGGAAUUACUGGGCGUAAAGGGCGCGUAGGCGGCCUUCUAAGUCAGACGUGAAAUCCCCCGGCUUAACCUGGGAACUGCGUCUGAUACUGGAAGGCUUGAGUGCGGGAGAGGGAUGCGGAAUUCCAGGUGUAGCGGUGAGAUGCGUAGAUAUCUGGAGGAACACCGGUGGCGAAGGCGGCAUCCUGGACCGACACUGACACUGAGGAGCGAAAGCCAGGGGAGCAAACGGG
rnacentral:rRNA from 1 species